rnacentral:rRNA from 1 species
UAGCGUAUAUUAAAGUUGUUGCGGUUAAAAAGCUCGUAGUUGGAUUUCUGUUGAGGGCAGGCGGUCCACCUCUUGGGUGAGUAUCUGCAUUGGCCUCGGCAUCUUCUCGAAAUUUGUAUCUGCGCUUGACUGCGUGGUGCAACGUUCGGGACUUUUACUUUGAGGAAAUUAGAGUGUUCACGGCAGGCAUACGCCUUGAAUAUAUUAGCAUGGAAUAAUAAUAUAGGAUCUUGGUUCUAUUUUGUUGGUUUCUAGAGCUAAGAUAAUGAUUAAUAGGAACAGUUGGGGGCAUUCGUAUUAACGCGUC